UUGAUGUGGAACGAGGCUGGUAAAAACAUCGGUAAACCGCGUUGUAACAGCCAGAUAUUUAACCGUGGUAGUUUGGUGAAAAUAUAUAUAACAUACUGACUGUUUACAUCUGAAAAUGGUAAGUUGACAGACGUUUGUUUUUCAUGCUGUAAUAUUGUCUGUAAAUAAUAAAAAAUUGGCAAUCUUUCGUCUCUAGUAGACCUUUCCGUCGAUUUCCGUAAGAAACUUCUUUUUUUUUUACAUAUGGGCUUGCGGGAACUUUUGAUGUAAUGAGAGCGAAAGAGACUAAGAGAAAGCGAUUGUAUGACGGGGGAAGUUCUUUUGAAGUUACCGUGCAUGGCAAGCAUUGAUGUAGAUGUGUGUGUGCUUCUAGAGACGAAAGAUCGCCAAUAAGGCAUAAAAUUUUGUUUCACUUGAAGAAAGCGUGAAACCCGGUCAAAAAACAACAAAAAGAAAAUUGCGUAAUAGGUGUAAAACAACGGUACUACUAGCGAACAGUGGGCCCAGUGCGCGCUAGCUAGUCGUGACUAGUCGAUCUUAGAACGACUCCCUAGCAAAGUAAAUACAACACAAAAUAAAUAAUUUUUUUUACACAAAGUAAAUAAUUUUUUGGCAAUCUGAAACGAAGUAAAUAACACUGUUCGGCCCGAGGCUAUAGUAGAAGACACUUGUCCAAGGUGCCACGCAGUGGGACUGAACCCGGAACCAUGUCGUUGGUAAGCAAGCUACUUACCACACAGCCAGGCAGAUUUAAUAAAAAGUGCAGUUCCAAAUUCUCAGUACAUUACAAAAUAUGAGAGACACCUGAAAAAGUCAUGAAGAUACAGUGGCUAAAGACCGUUGUCCAGGUAUAAUGCAUAAUUAUUAUUGUUUAUUGUAAAGUAUGUAAUGUUACACAAUCUGGUGUACCUGUUGUGUGAAAAUAGGUAAACUUCACACAGCUUCCUAUAAUGUAAUUUUGAUGACAAAUAAAUAAGUGAAGUAUAAUUAUUGAGGUAAAAUUUUUAUGUCUAAAGUUUAUCUAAAGGCGCAGGAGUGGCUGUGUGGUAUGUAGCUUGUUUACCAACCACAUGGUUCUGGGUUCAGUCCCACUGCGUGGCAUCUUGGGCAAGUGUCUUCUGCUAUAGCCCCAUGCCGACCAAUGCCUUGUGAGUGGAUUUGGUAAACGGAAACUGAAAGAAGCCAAUAUAGCUGCAGGAGUGGCUGUGUGGUAAGUAGCCUGUUUACCAACCACAUGGUUCCGGGUUCAGUCCCACUGCGUGGCAUCUUGUGCAAGUGUCUUCUGCUAUAGCCCCAGGCCAACCAAUGCCUUGUGAGUGGAUUUGGUAAACGGAAACUGAAAGAAGCCUGUCGUAUAUAUGUAUAUAUAUGUGUGUGUGUGUGUUUGUGUGUCUGUGUUUGUCCCCUUAGCAUUGCUUGACAACCGAUGCUGGUGUGUUUACGUCCCCGUUACUUAGCGGUUCGGCAAAAAGAGACCGAUAGAAUAAGUACUGAGCUUACAAAGAAUAAAUCCCAGGGUCGAUUUGCUCGACCAAAGGCGGUGCUCCAGCAUGGCCGCAGUCAAAUGACUGAAACAAGUAAAAGGGAGUAAAAUAAAUUAUUAUUGUUUAUUGUAAAUGCAUGUAAUGUUACACAAUCUGGUGUACCUGUUGUGUGAAAAUAGGUAAGCUUCACACAGCUUUCUAUAAUGUAAUUUUGAUGACAAAUAAAUAAGUGAAGUGGAAGCACUCCGUCGGUUCCGACGACGAGGGUUCCGGUUGAUCCGAAUCAACGGAACAGCCUGCUCGUGAAAUUAACGUGUAUGUGGCUGAGCAUUCCACAGACACGUGUAGCCUUAACGUAGUUCUCGGGGAUAUUCAGCGUGACACAGAGAGUGACAAGGCUGGCCCUUUGAAAUACAGGUACAACAGAAACAGGAAGUAAGAGUGAGAGAAAGUUGUGGUGAAAGAGUACAGCAGGGAUCACCACCAUCCCCUGCCGGAGCCUCGUGGAGCUUUUAGGUGUUUUCGCUCAAUAAACACUCACAACGCCCAGUCUGGGAAUCGAAACCACGAUCCUAUGACCGAGAGUCCGCUGCCCUAACCACUGGGCCAUUGCGCCUCCACUAUAAGUGAAGCAUAAUUAUUGAGGUAAAAUUUUUAUGUCUAAAGUUUAUCAAAAUAGUAAAAUUUCACUUCUGAAUCUAUUUUCUAAUAUCUUUCAUGGUUUUUUUGUCAUUUCAGAAAAUCAAAUGACGUCAACAUCAAAGAUCCAUUAUCAAUAUUUGUCACCAUUUACAGACUUGAGAAAGCAGUUAUACAGAAAACAUACAACACUGUUUCUAUAAAUUUGUUUUGGGUUGCUGUGACAGUUAUUCUUCCGAGUGAAACAUUUCUCUUCGUUGUAUAUAGGAUGGGUGUAAGAUGAUAUUGUAUUACACUUAAAUUUGGACAGAUUUACAAAUGAAUUUUGUUGCUAUUCCUUUUACCAG
rnacentral:lncRNA from 1 species